rnacentral:rRNA from 1 species
AGUGAACGCUGGCGGUAGGCCUAACACAUGCAAGUCGAACGGCAGCACAGUAAGAGCUUGCUCUUACGGGUGGCGAGUGGCGGACGGGUGAGGAAUACAUCGGAAUCUACUUUUUCGUGGGGGAUAACGUAGGGAAACUUACGCUAAUACCGCAUACGACCUACGGGUGAAAGCAUGGGAUCUUCGGACCUUGCGCGAUUGAAUGAGCCGAUGUCGGAUUAGCUAGUUGGCGGGGUAAAGGCCCACCAAGGCGACGAUCCGUAGCUGGUCUGAGAGGAUGAUCAGCCACACUGGAACUGAGACACGGUCCAGACUCCUACGGGAGGCAGCAGUGGGGAAUAUUGGACAAUGGGCGCAAGCCUGAUCCAGCCAUACCGCGUGGGUGAAGAAGGCCUUCGGGUUGUAAAGCCCUUUUGUUGGGAAAGAAAAGCAGCAGGUUAAUACCCCGCUGUUCUGACGGUACCAAAAGAAUAAGCACCGGCUAACUUCGUG